AUGCAAAUACUAGCUAACUUUGAUGGCAACGGCUGGCUACUCUCAGUUUGGGUUCUUGAGAAUGAUGCUAGUGGAGAGUGGACCCUGAAGCAUACUGCAAACAUUUCAGAACUGUUAGGAAAGCGUCCUAACAUUUCGGAACCGUGCGGAAGUCAUCUUUGCAAACUUGAUGAGUCAUAUAGAUUGAUUGCUAUCCAUCCGGACUGUGAUUUGAUUUUCUCCAUAGAUGCGGUGGAAGAGAAAUUUAUGUCGUAUGAUAUGGAUAGCGGGAAGGCACAAGUUGUCUACGACAAAGGAAAAUACUUCUGUGACUGUGAACCAUAUCUUCCUUACACGCCCUGUUUUGAUGAAUGCUUAACUUCCGGAUAG
rnacentral:rRNA from 1 species